GUAGUAUUCCCUCCGUCCCAAAAUUCUUGUCUUACAUUUGUUUAGAUACGGAUGAAACGAGGUAGUAUCUAACACUAAAAUGUAACUAGAUACAUCCGUAUUUAGACAAAUUUAAGACAAGAAUUUUGGGAUGGAGGGAGUACAAA
rfam:Triticum aestivum genome assembly, contig: Triticum_aestivum_CS42_TGACv1_scaffold_404483_5BL